AUUCAAGUAGCUCAGUUGGUAGAGCGUGGGUUUGAAGGUCCUAAGGUCAGUGGUUCGAAUCCACUCUUGAAUA
rnacentral:tRNA from 1 species